GAGUCAUUGGGACUCUGUUAAACCUAAAGGCGCAAUGAAAGUGAAGGUCCGCCUCGCGCGGACCGAGGGAGGAUGGGCCCGUCCACGGGCGGGCCCCGCACUCCCGGGGCGUCUCGUUCUCAUAGCGAGAAGAGGCGCACCCAGAGCGUACACGCUGGGACCCGAAAGAUGGUGAACUAUGCCUGGUCAGGACGAAGUCAGGGGAAACCCUGAUGGAGGUCCGUAGCGAUUCUGACGUGCAAAUCGAUCGUCGGAACUGGGUAUAGG
rnacentral:rRNA from 1 species